GAUUCUGGCUCAGGAUGAACGCUGGCGGCGUGCCUAAUACAUGCAAGUCGAGCGAACAGAUAAGGAGCUUGCUCCUUGACGUUAGCGGCGGACGGGUGAGUAACACGUGGGUAACCUACCUAUAAGACUGGGAUAACUUCGGGAAACCGGAGCUAAUACCGGAUAACAUUUGGAACCGCAUGGUUCUAAAGUGAAAGAUGGUUUUGCUAUCACUUAUAGAUGGACCCGCGCCGUAUUAGCUAGUUGGUAAGGUAACGGCUUACCAAGGCGACGAUACGUAGCCGACCUGAGAGGGUGAUCGGCCACACUGGAACUGAGACACGGUCCAGACUCCUACGGGAGGCAGCAGUAGGGAAUCUUCCGCAAUGGGCGAAAGCCUGACGGAGCAACGCCGCGUGAGUGAUGAAGGGUUUCGGCUCGUAAAACUCUGUUAUUAGGGAAGAACAAAUGUGUAAGUAACUGUGCACGUCUUGACGGUACCUAAUCAGAAAGCCACGGCUAACUACGUGCCAGCCGCCGC
rnacentral:rRNA from 1 species